GACGAACGCUGGCGGCGCGCUUAACACAUGCAAGUCGAGGGGUGUUUACACCACUGGCGCACGGGUGAGUAACGCGUAGGCAAUCUGCCCCUAUCACAGACAUAACGUCGGGAAACUGGCGCUAAUAUCUGAUGAGGACUCCGGUUCAAAGUAGUGAUAUGGAUAGGGAUGAGCCUGCGUUAGAUUAGCUAGUUGGUGAGGUAACUGCUCACCAAGGCGACGAUCUAUAGCUGGUCUGAGAGGACGAUCAGCCACACUGGAACUGAGACACGGUCCAGACUCCUACGGGAGGCAGCAGUGAGGAAUUUUGGUCAAUGGGCGGAAGCCUGAACCAGCCAUGCCGCGUGCAGGAAGGAGGCCCUACGGGUUGUAAACUGCUUUUACCCGGGAAGAAACCGCCCCUGUGGGGGCGUUGGCCGGUACCGGGGAAAAGGAUCGGCUAACUCCGUGCCAGCAGCCGCGGUAAAACGUCUACUA
rnacentral:rRNA from 1 species